rnacentral:rRNA from 1 species
UUAAGCGACUAAGCGUACACGGUGGAUGCCCUGGCAGUCAGAGGCGAUGAAGGACGUGCUAAUCUGCGAUAAGCGUCGGUAAGGUGAUAUGAACCGUUAUAACCGGCGAUUUCCGAAUGGGGAAACCCAGUGUGAUUCGUCACACUAUCAUUAACUGAAUCCAUAGGUUAAUGAGGCGAACCGGGGGAACUGAAACAUCUAAGUACCCCGAGGAAAAGAAAUCAACCGAGAUUCCCCCAGUAGCGGCGAGCGAACGGGGAGCAGCCCAGAGCCUGAAUCAGUAUGUGUGUUAGUGGAAGCGUCUGGAAAGGCGCGCGAUACAGGGUGACAGCCCCGUACACAAAAAUGCACAUGCUGUGAGCUCGAUGAGUAGGGCGGGACACGUGGUAUCCUGUCUGAAUAUGGGGGGACCAUCCUCCAAGGCUAAAUACUCCUGACUGACCGAUAGUGAACCAGUACCGUGAGGGAAAGGCGAAAAGAACCCCGGCGAGGGGAGUGAAAAAGAACCUGAAACCGUGUACGUACAAGCAGUGGGAGCACAGAGCAAUCUGUGUGACUGCGUACCUUUUGUAUAAUGGGUCAGCGACUUAUAUUCUGUAGCAAGGUUAACCGAAUAGGGGAGCCGAAGGGAAACCGAGUCUUAACUGGGCGUUAAGUUGCAGGGUAUAGACCCGAAACCCGGUGAUCUAGCCAUGGGCAGGUUGAAGGUUGGGUAACACUAACUGGAGGACCGAACCGACUAAUGUUGAAAAAUUAGCGGAUGACUUGUGGCUGGGGGUGAAAGGCCAAUCAAACCGGGAGAUAGCUGGUUCUCCCCGAAAGCUAUUUAGGUAGCGCCUCGUGAAUUCAUCUCCGGGGGUAGAGCACUGUUUCGGCAAGGGGGUCAUCCCGACUUACCAACCCGAUGCAAACUGCGAAUACCGGAGAAUGUUAUCACGGGAGACACACGGCGGGUGCUAACGUCCGUCGUGAAGAGGGAAACAACCCAGACCGCCAGCUAAGGUCCCAAAGUCAUGGUUAAGUGGGAAACGAUGUGGGAAGGCCCAGACAGCCAGGAUGUUGGCUUAGAAGCAGCCAUCAUUUAAAGAAAGCGUAAUAGCUCACUGGUCGAGUCGGCCUGCGCGGAAGAUGUAACGGGGCUAAACCAUGCACCGAAGCUGCGGCAGCGACGCUUAUGCGUUGUUGGGUAGGGGAGCGUUCUGUAAGCCUGUGAAGGUGUGCUGUGAGGCAUGCUGGAGGUAUCAGAAGUGCGAAUGCUGACAUAAGUAACGAUAAAGCGGGUGAAAAGCCCGCUCGCCGGAAGACCAAGGGUUCCUGUCCAACGUUAAUCGGGGCAGGGUGAGUCGACCCCUAAGGCGAGGCCGAAAGGCGUAGUCGAUGGGAAACAGGUUAAUAUUCCUGUACUUGGUGUUACUGCGAAGGGGGGACGGAGAAGGCUAUGUUGGCCGGGCGACGGUUGUCCCGGUUUAAGCGUGUAGGCUGGUUUUCCAGGCAAAUCCGGAAAAUCAAGGCUGAGGCGUGAUGACGAGGCACUACGGUGCUGAAGCAACAAAUGCCCUGCUUCCAGGAAAAGCCUCUAAGCAUCAGGUAACAUCAAAUCGUACCCCAAACCGACACAGGUGGUCAGGUAGAGAAUACCAAGGCGCUUGAGAGAACUCGGGUGAAGGAACUAGGCAAAAUGGUGCCGUAACUUCGGGAGAAGGCACGCUGAUAUGUAGGUGAAGUCCCUCGCGGAUGGAGCUGAAAUCAGUCGAAGAUACCAGCUGGCUGCAACUGUUUAUUAAAAACACAGCACUGUGCAAACACGAAAGUGGACGUAUACGGUGUGACGCCUGCCCGGUGCCGGAAGGUUAAUUGAUGGGGUCAGCGCAAGCGAAGCUCUUGAUCGAAGCCCCGGUAAACGGCGGCCGUAACUAUAACGGUCCUAAGGUAGCGAAAUUCCUUGUCGGGUAAGUUCCGACCUGCACGAAUGGCGUAAUGAUGGCCAGGCUGUCUCCACCCGAGACUCAGUGAAAUUGAACUCGCUGUGAAGAUGCAGUGUACCCGCGGCAAGACGGAAAGACCCCGUGAACCUUUACUAUAGCUUGACACUGAACAUUGAGCCUUGAUGUGUAGGAUAGGUGGGAGGCUUGGAAGUGUGGACGCCAGUCUGCAUGGAGCCGACCUUGAAAUACCACCCUUUAAUGUUUGAUGUUCUAACGUUGACCCGUAAUCCGGGUUGCGGACAGUGUCUGGUGGGUAGUUUGACUGGGGCGGUCUCCUCCUAAAGAGUAACGGAGGAGCACGAAGGUUGGCUAAUCCUGGUCGGACAUCAGGAGGUUAGUGCAAUGGCAUAAGCCAGCUUGACUGCGAGCGUGACGGCGCGAGCAGGUGCGAAAGCAGGUCAUAGUGAUCCGGUGGUUCUGAAUGGAAGGGCCAUCGCUCAACGGAUAAAAGGUACUCCGGGGAUAACAGGCUGAUACCGCCCAAGAGUUCAUAUCGACGGCGGUGUUUGGCACCUCGAUGUCGGCUCAUCACAUCCUGGGGCUGAAGUAGGUCCCAAGGGUAUGGCUGUUCGCCAUUUAAAGUGGUACGCGAGCUGGGUUUAGAACGUCGUGAGACAGUUCGGUCCCUAUCUGCCGUGGGCGCUGGAGAACUGAGGGGGGCUGCUCCUAGUACGAGAGGACCGGAGUGGACGCAUCACUGGUGUUCGGGUUGUCAUGCCAAUGGCACUGCCCGGUAGCUAAAUGCGGAAGAGAUAAGUGCUGAAAGCAUCUAAGCACGAAACUUGCCCCGAGAUGAGUUCUCCCUGACUCCUUGAGAGUCCUGAAGGAACGUUGAAGACGACGACGUUGAUAGGCCGGGUGUGUAAGCGCAGCGAUGCGUUGAGCUAACCGGUACUAAUGAACCGUGAGGCUUAACCUU